rnacentral:tRNA from 1 species
CCUUCGAUAGCUCAGUUGGUAGAGCGGUGGACUGUAGUUGAAAUGGUUACGAAUGGACAUCCAUAGGUCGCUGGUUCGAAUCCGGCUCGAAGGA